CGGACUAGACACUAGAGCAACUGCCACUCAACUUGGCUCAGUUUGGUUGGUAUCUGGUUCCGACCCUACUGUCCAGUCAUGCCUGAUAUACGCUGAGACACAGAAGUGUUUCCUCUGUGGAGGAACAACUUGAAAUCCUUCGAUGUUACCAUAAUAAAGACUACCUACGGUGACCUCCCCAGCCCAGGAAAUGUGACCAGACAGCCUUCAUUCAAGACCGGUAUUCAUACAUUACAUAAAGCAAUCAGCAUCUUCCCAGGAAAAUGUAAGGCUUGAAGUUAAAUUAAAUUAGCUGAAUUGUAAAACCUCUGAAAUUUAGCUCUCUGGCUCCCCAAGUAGCUUUAUCUGUUUUGGUGGGCAAAGAGAAACAAAUAAUCUUCAUGUUCAGAACCCUGAUCUAUUUUGGAUGCCAACUAAUACAUCUUUUAUUUUAGCCUCUCAGCUGCUAUGGAGGAAAAAGAACUCUGUCAGAGUGACAAGCAAAAAAAAAUUGAAGUACAUUUCUUUUCUCUCUAGAGACACUAGUUAAUGAAAUAAAACAUGUAGCCCUUUAAAAUGCUGCAACCAUGAGGCCCCAAGUCUUGAAAGCUCCUCUCGUUUUGCCGCUGUGGGACCAUAACAAUUUAGCAGCAGCAGCAAGCCCUUGAACCAAGAUGCACAGAAGGAAGGAUUCCUUGCUGGACUUCACAAAAACAACCCAAGAGACCCAUCAACUCCGGUGUCCCCAAGUGAACUGGUAGUAGGACUGUAAUAAGAGACACAAACUUGGCCAAAUGACUAACCAAGCCAGAUAGUAAAGGGCAUCUGUAAGGGAUGUUACUAUCCCUGCCUUCUGCUAUGGGUACACAGGAUUCCAGGACACAUGAAAAAUGUAAAACCACCUUCCUCCAAAACUUCUACAUCAUCACUCCAUUUUCAGCACUGGAAAACCAUACAUAACAUGGUUUUUUCCUUAGAUUCCAGUGCUUACUUACUCUCCAAGGAUGCCUUAUAUGGCAGAAAGUCAAACUGUAAUUUUUUUUUUUAAUUUCACUAUACUUUCCUUUUGAUUGGCUCACAUAAGUGAUAUAAAUAUCCAUUUUUAGCCGUA